rnacentral:lncRNA from 1 species
CCAGAUCUGAAUAGCCUUUUCAAGGAAAAUUAUCUUCCACUCCUGGAUCGAAUCAAGAACGAUCUCUAAAUGAAAGGUCUGACUAUCAGUGAUGAGUUAUGGGCGGAGGUUUGACUAUCAGUGAUGAGUUAUGGGCGGAGGUCUGACUAUCAGUGAUGAGUUAUGGGCGGAGGUUUGCGACAGGGUAUACUGCUCCUCUACUAAUGUAAAAAUGAAAGAAUCUAAUACAUUUUUGUACAAAUUUUAUUACACUCAGACUCCAUAGAAUGAAAACAGACAUUUCUCCUAACUGUAAAAGAUGUACCUCUGAAAGUUGAACCUAUAUGCAUGUAUUUUGGAGCUGUAGAGAGUGCCAGAUUUUGACAAUCUAUACAUACUGCUGCACAGAAAAUACUAGAUGUACAGUUUGAUAUGACCCCGUGUAUCUAUCUUCUUAAUGCCCAGCAGGACUUUGUUCUUGAUCCUGACAGAGAAAAUGUGCUCAUGACUAUUAUAUACUUUGCUAAGAAAUGUAUUCUUCUAUUGUGGGCCUCUAAUACCUCUCCUUUAAAAUGUGGAUUGACCAGAUUGUUGACUUUCUCCCCCUUGAAAAGCUCACUUGUGACCUCCGCAAGACACAGCCCAAGUUUGAUAGACUCUGGUCUCCACUACUCAACUAUAUUUCAAAUUGGACAGAGUGAAUGGGGUGAUUAGGGAAAUGAGCAGAUACAUGUUGUGUAAGGUGCUGUAAAAUCUAAAAACUAAUUAUUUGCUCGUCGUCUCAGCUAAGGCUGGAAAUAGCUAAUAAGAACCUUUGAUAGUGCUGCUGCAAGUUUUAUAUAUUUAUAUAUAUAUAUACACUGCUCAAAAAAAUAAAGGGAACACUUAAACAACACAUCCUAGAUCUGAAUGAAAGAAAUCUUAUUAAAUACUUUUUUCUUUACAUAGUUGAAUGUGCUGACAACAAAAUCACACAAAAAUAAUCAAUGGAAAUCCAAUUUAUCAACCCAUGGAGGUCUGGAUUUGGAGUCACACUCAAAAUUAUAGUGGAAAACCACACUACAGGCUGAUCCAACUUUGACAUAAUGUCCUUAAAACAAGUCAAAAUGAGGCUCAGUAGUGUGUGUGGCCUCCACGUGCCUGUAUGACCUCCCUACAACGCCUGGG